UGGCGAACGGGUGAGUAAUACAUCGGAACGUGCCCUGUAGUGGGGGAUAACUAGUCGAAAGAUUAGCUAAUACCGCAUACGACCUGAGGGUGAAAGUGGGGGACCGCAAGGCCUCAUGCUAUAGGAGCGGCCGAUGUCUGAUUAGCUAGUUGGUGGGGUAAAGGCCCACCAAGGCGACGAUCAGUAGCUGGUCUGAGAGGACGAUCAGCCACACUGGGACUGAGACACGGCCCAGACUCCUACGGGAGGCAGCAGUGGGGAAUUUUGGACAAUGGGCGAAAGCCUGAUCCAGCAAUGCCGCGUGUGUGAAGAAGGCCUUCGGGUUGUAAAGCACUUUUGUCCGGAAAGAAAUGGCUCUGGUUAAUACCUGGGGUCGAUGACGGUACCGGAAGAAUAAGGACCGGCUAACUACGUGCCAGCAGCCGCGGUAAUACGUAGGGUCCAAGCGUUAAUCGGAAUUACUGGGCGUAAAGCGUGCGCAGGCGGUUGUGCAAGACCGAUGUGAAAUCCCCGAGCUUAACUUGGGAAUUGCAUUGGUGACUGCACGGCUAGAGUGUGUCAGAGGGGGGUAGAAUUCCACGUGUAGCAGUGAAAUGCGUAGAGAUGUGGAGGAAUACCGAUGGCGAAGGCAGCCCCCUGGGAUAACACUGACGCUCAUGCACGAAAGCGUGGGGAGCAAACAGGAUUAGAUACCCUGGUAGUCCACGCCCUAAACGAUGUCAACUAGUUGUUGGGGAUUCAUUUCCUUAGUAACGUAGCUAACGCGUGAAGUUGACCGCCUGGGGAGUACGGUCGCAAGAUUAAAACUCAAAGGAAUUGACGGGGACCCGCACAAGCGGUGGAUGAUGUGGAUUA
rnacentral:rRNA from 1 species